AGUCGAGCGGUAACAUUUCUAGCUUGCUAGAAGAUGACGAGCGGCGGACGGGUGAGUAAUACUUAGGAAUCUACCUAGUAGUGGGGGAUAGCUCGGGGAAACUCGAAUUAAUACCGCAUACGACCUACGGGAGAAAGGGGGCAGUUUACUGCUCUCGCUAUUAGAUGAGCCUAAGUCGGAUUAGCUAGAUGGUGGGGUAAAGGCCUACCAUGGCGACGAUCUGUAGCUGGUCUGAGAGGAUGAUCAGCCACACCGGAACUGAGACACGGUCCGGACUCCUACGGGAGGCAGCAGUGGGGAAUAUUGGACAAUGGGGGCAACCCUGAUCCAGCCAUGCCGCGUGUGUGAAGAAGGCCUUUUGGUUGUAAAGCACUUUAAGCAGUGAAGAAGACUCCGUGGUUAAUACCCACGGACGAUGACAUUAGCUGCAGAAUAAGCACCGGCUAACUCUGUGCCAGCAGCCGCGGUAAUACAGAGGGUGCAAGCGUUAAUCGGAAUUACUGGGCGUAAAGCGAGCGUAGGUGGCUUGAUAAGUCAGAUGUGAAAUCCCCGGGCUUAACCUGGGAACUGCAUCUGAUACUGUUAGGCUAGAGUAGGUGAGAGGAAGGUAGAAUUCCAGGUGUAGCGGUGAAAUGCGUAGAGAUCUGGAGGAAUACCGAUGGCGAAGGCAGCCUUCUGGCAUCAUACUGACACUGAGGCUCGAAAGCGUGGGUAGCAAACAGGAUUAGAUACCCUGGUAGUCCACGCCGUAAACGAUGUCUACUAGUCGUUGGGUCCCUUGAGGACUUAGUGACGCAGCUAACGCAAUAAGUAGACCGCCUGGGGAGUACGGCCGCAAGGUUAAAACUCAAAUGAAUUGACGGGGGCCCGCACAAGCGGUGGAGCAUGUGGUUUAAUUCGAUGCAACGCGAAGAACCUUACCUGGUCUUGACAUAUCUAGAAUCCUGCAGAGAUGCGGGAGUGCC
rnacentral:rRNA from 1 species